CCCGGGCCCGCAGCUGAGGCAGGGCGCUCGGCAGAGCUCACGCUGCCUUCUGACCCCUCAGCUUCUCCUCUGCAGCCGAGCCGCAAACAGCGACCCUUGGCGAUGCUCACCUGCAAUUCUGCUGCAGAUGCUUCAUAGGUGAUGGGCUGGCUUUACGUACAGGAGCUCUCCUCCAGAAAUGGCAGAUAAAUACUUGCCUCACACGUGUUUGGAGGAUGGCUCCCAUCACUGGAGAAGGCUGGGAGCUUGCGGAGUCCUACUGAGAGUAAAGUGACUCAUAAUAUACAAAUGGAGAGAAAUAAUUCAAACAGCAUGUGAUCUUAAACCUCCUUUUCAGCUGCAAAUAGAAAGCUGAAGAUGGUUUGCCAUUAACUUCUUGCAUUAAGCCAUAUGUCUGUGCCUUUGGGGAGCUCACAAAGUCUAACCUGGAUUCAGGUCAUGUCCUUCCAACCAAACCAGAAAUUUUUUUGUCAUAAGUGAUAGAAUUCCAUUUUACUUGUCUGGUCCAGAUGGUGGUUGACCUGCAAAGAGUUCAUGUGCUGAUGGAAAUAAAUGAUGUUGGCACCUUGGGAGAGAAGAAUCCAUCACACCUUCUGUACCAAGCUGAAGUAAAUUUAGGAAGGCAGCCUUGACCUUUCAUGCCUUGGCCUUAAAAUAAUUUGUGCCAUCCCAAAUCCUUGAUGUUGAUGUUACAGCCAGAACCUCAGAAACAGCUUGAGAACUUGUGUAGCCUGACUUUUCUAGUGGAUCAAUCUCUUCAAAAACAAGAUCAAUGGAGCAUCCAUGUCAUUGCAAAGUACAUAUUCUUUUUUCUAUUGUUUCUGUAUCUUAGUCUGUUUUUUUCCUUCUUUUGCAUGUAGCAGAUGUUAACAAGGGUAACAGUAGGUUAUUGUAAAAUAAUUUCUUAGAGGGUCUCUGCAAGUUACAAUGCUUUGUAUGUUAAGAAUAAUUGA